rnacentral:rRNA from 1 species
GACGAACGCUGGCGGCGUGCCUAAUACAUGCAAGUAGAACGCUGAAGAGAGGAGCUUGCUCUUCUUGGACGAGUUGCGAACGGGUGAGUAACGCGUAGGUAACCUGCCUUGUAGCGGGGGAUAACUAUUGGAAACGAUAGCUAAUACCGCAUAACAAUAGGUGACACAUGUCAUUUAUUUGAAAGGGGCAAUUGCUCCACUACAAGAUGGACCUGCGUUGUAUUAGCUAGUAGGUGAGGUAACGGCUCACCUAGGCGACGGUACAUAGCCGACCUGAGAGGGGAUCGGCCACACUGGGACUGAGACACGGCCCAGACUCCUACGGGAGGCAGCAGUAGGGAAUCUUCGGCAAUGGGGGCAACCCUGACCGAGCAACGCCGCGUGAGUGAAGAAGGUUUUCGGAUCGUAAAGCUCUGUUGUAAGUCAAGAACGAGUGUGAGAGUGGAAAGUUCACACUGUGACGGUAGCUUACCAGAAAGGGACGGCUAACUACGUGCCAGCAGCCGCGGUAAUACGUAGGUCCCGAGCGUUGUCCGGAUUUAUUGGGCGUAAAGCGAGCGCAGGCGGUUUGAUAAGUCUGAAGUUAAAGGCUGUGGCUCAACCAUAGUUCGCUUUGGAAACUGUCAAACUUGAGUGCAGAAGGGGAGAGUGGAAUUCCAUGUGUAGCGGUGAAAUGCGUAGAUAUAUGGAGGAACACCGGUGGCGAAAGCGGCUCUCUGGCCUGUAACUGACGCUGAGGCUCGAAAGCGUGGGGAGCGAACAGG